rnacentral:rRNA from 1 species
GAUGAACGCUAGCGGCAGGCUUAACACAUGCAAGUCGAGGGGCAGCAAGGAUUGUGCUUGCACAAUUUGUUGGCGACCGGCGCACGGGUGCGUAACGCGUAUGCAACCUACCUUUAACAGGGGGAUAACACUGAGAAAUUGGUACUAAUACCCCAUAAUACUUUGAAAGGCAUCUUUUGGAGUUGAAAGUUCCGGCGGUUAGAGAUGGGCAUGCGUUGUAUUAGCUAGAUGGUGAGGUAACGGCUCACCAUGGCGACGAUACAUAGGGGGACUGAGAGGUUAACCCCCCACAUUGGUACUGAGACACGGACCAAACUCCUACGGGAGGCAGCAGUGAGGAAUAUUGGACAAUGGAUGGAAAUCUGAUCCAGCCAUGCCGCGUGCAGGAUGACGGCCCUAUGGGUCUUAAACUGCUUUUGUAUGGGAGCAAUAAGUUCUACGUGUAGGAUGAUGAGAGUACCUUACGAAUAAGCAUCGG